rnacentral:rRNA from 1 species
UACAGAGGGGGCAAGCGUUGUUCGGAAUUACUGGGCGUAAAGGGCGCGUAGGCGGCCGCCUAAGUCAGACGUGAAAUCCCUCGGCUCAACCGGGGAACUGCGUCUGAUACUGGGUGGCUUGAAUCCGGGAGAGGGAUGCGGAAUUCCAGGUGUAGCGGUGAAAUGCGUAGAUAUCAGGAGGAACACCGGUGGCGAAGGCGGUUCUCUGGGCAUUACCUGACGCUGAGGAGCGAAAGUGUGGGGAGCGAACAGG